GCCUCUUCCUAGGCCAGUGACAUCACAUUCAUCGGUCACGAGGCCUAGACACAGCUCAUUCCCAUUCAAGAGAAUGAGGCUGAGCUGCAACACCAAGCACAGCCCCUGAGGAGGCAGCGGCACCAAGGCAGCGGCGCUGACAGGAGAGCAGUG